rnacentral:rRNA from 1 species
GUCUAUGGCCACACCACCCUGAAUGUGUCUGAUCUCGUCUGAUCUCAGAAGCUAGGCAGGGUCAGGCCUGGUUAGUACUUGGAUGGGAGAAUAAAUAAGUAAAAGUCCAAGUUGAUAGGCU